rnacentral:rRNA from 1 species
UCCUUAGAUGUUCUGGGCUGCACGCGCGCUACACUGAUGCACUCAACGAGUUUACGACCUUGCCCGAUAGGGUUGGGUAAUCUUUUUAAAAUGCAUCGUGAUGGGGAUAGAUUAUUGCAAUUAUUAAUCUUCAACGAGGAAUUCCUAGUAAGCGCGAGUCAUCAGCUCGUGCUGAUUACGUCCCUGCCCUUUGUACACACCGCCCGUCGCUCCUACCGAUUGAGUGCUCAGGUGAAUAAUUCGGACUGCAGCAAUGUUUGGAUCCCGAACGUUGCAGCGGAAAGUUUAGUGAACCUUAUCACUUAGAGGAAGGAGAAGUCGUAACA